CUGGGAGAUGUGCCUCCCUGCUCUGGGCUCCCCUGGGCAGGAGGAGUGCUUGUCCUGCUCUCAUCUAAUCCCUGCAGCCAGCAGCAGGAGGUUCAGUGGGUUGGGAUGGGAUGACCAUGGCUUGUGGGCUCAGGGUUCAGGCUGUACUUGAGGAACAGCAGUCUGGGUUCUGACUUUUAUGUCAAAAUUUCUUAUAGAUUUUUACCCAAUGAAUAUUUGUUGGUUUUGCAGUGGAAAUAUUCUCAGUGUAGACUGAACUUUAGGAACUUCAGAAAAAUUGGUCACUCCUUUAUUAAAUGUUACUGUAGCUCACAGACCUAAUGUAGCUAUAUCUAUCUAUAAAUAUGGAUGUAGUAUAUUCACUUUGCUCUCAUGUAACAGGUUACUCAUGUAUUAAUAAUUACUAACAGCACAGAUCUUAGAUCCUUCUGGGUGGCGAGUGUCCAAAAUUUCUGCAGUUUGAUCCCAUCUUCAGGCUGCAAAUGCUUUGAUCCUACAUUACAAAAACAGGCUUGAAGUUGUUCAAGAGACAUCCAGUAUUUCAAAGCCAGGUUUCUUAAUUUGACACUGCUUUAAAACUUCACUGCUAAGCAGAGCCAGUCUCUGCCUCCCUUGCUAAGGGCUGGCAUUGUGGGUGUGCACCUCAAAGCCUAAAGCAACUUCAUGUUGAAUUCAGCUUCACUCUGUCAUUUGCAUUCAGCACUUUGCAGCCAUAUCUGGAUCUUUUAUGGCAGAUUUUUUUUUUCCUCUUUUCAAUUCUAAACCAAUUUAAAGCCUUUUAAUGGCAGUAAGUGUACACCUGAUCUGCCAUUUUCAAGCUGCAAUUUAUGUUGUCUCGCAGCAGCAUUAAUUCCAACACCUGAGGCGGGAGAACGGCUUACUGCCGUCAGACUGAUGAGCAGCAAUGGAUCUGUGCUAUUUAAUUAGGAGCAGCAGCUGCUUCCCACAGAGCUGCUCACACACUGCCCAGAGGCAGCCCAAGCAUCAGCUGCCCUGCAGUGCAUGGGCCAGCCCCGUCCCUGCUUCCUACCCACCCACAGUAGGUGAAGAUCCCUCUGAGUGGGGAGAGCAGCCUGGCACAGCGCUCCUCUGGUGCUGCCCUAGGUACAAAUCUGUCAGAUCAACCUCUAGGUAUCAACCCCCAUCAUUUUCGAACUGAGGUUGAGUGUAAACUUGUUCUGGGGACCCUAAAGAUAACAUAGCACUGAGUAGAGUAAAAGAACCAAGCCCGUAUUUUCCUUCCUGUAGGAGAGCACUGCUGGGUUUUGUGCUACAAGUUGCUCUGGGUUUGAGGAAGACUUUUGGCAGUCCUGGUCAAACAUCAAGCCCUGCAUCCUGGAAGCCAGGAGCCAGGCUGUGUUUGCAGGGUAGGGAUUUCUGCUCAGACAAGCAGGGAGCCAGGGAAUGACUGAGAGAUUACAGUGAAUUAAAGCUCCUCAUCCAGCACUGUAGCCUAAAGGUCUCUUAAGAAAACCGCUGCUGCUGUGGAAGGACGGAAGAGGAGGUGGGAGAGCACCGUGCACUGCGGUGUCUGCCUGGCAGAGGGAUGGAGCUGUGCAGCCGCUGUCAUGCCUGGCUGAGCAGGGCUCCUGAGUGGUGAGUG